UUCUUUUUUUUUCCUUUCAAGAUUUACCACAAUGUUCGACAUUAUUGAGGCGUGACCAAUGUUUGGCAUCUAAUUAUAACAACCAGUCUUUUCCAGAGUUACAAAUCUAUUCGACAUCAAUGAAGCGUGACCAAUGUUUGGCAUCACAUUACAACAACCAGUCUUUUCCAGAGAUAACAGAAUUAAAGUUUACGGAAGAAAGCUCAAGACGAGAGGAUAGUGAAAAUGAUUAUGAAAUGAUAAAUGAC
rnacentral:sRNA from 1 species